CCUCCCAUCUUGAAAAAAAAAUUCAAUCCUCGCAACGUAUUUUAAAAAAACACUAGAAAUGUAAAUGUUCUGAGUAUAAUGUUUCUAAUUCAAGAGUAGGCGGCUAUAAGAUUUAUUUUUAUCCUUUAUUUUGAUUGGUUCAGCGAUUAUACGUGCUAUUUUCUUAAGCUUUAAUCCUAUUGGUCUAUGCGUUUGACUAUAGAUAGUAAGCUCUGCAUGUAGUCGAAGACCCACUCAACCAAUAUAAUAUAGUUGUCUAUGGACUCACUGCAUUAUACAUUUUCGUUGGAAUAACGUCGUUAAUCACAACGGUAUCGAAACGUAAUAGUAUAUUAUGCAACAAGUGCGGUAAACGCCAUUUGACUCGCGAGCUUAUUUGACACGAGCGGAGCGUUGCAUACUAUAGUUUUUCUACGACCGUUAGUUUUUGGGUACAUUUUCGCAAAAUACGAAUCCAUUCACUGACAUGACUGUCAGAAUUGACAAACGUCAAAAUUCAAAGCGUGGGAAAUAUCUCCGAAAACAUCUGAUUGCUCUCAAACCCGUGCUGUAAAAUCCCGGAAAUGUCCGAAGUGGCUCGGACUCGUGGGAAACGAAACUGACGAGGUAAAGGGACGCUUCCCGCACGCUAGAUCGGUGUGUGAUUAGGUAUUUUACAGACGGGAGUAGAAAAAAUAUUUAAAGAUUUUUAAGGAAAUUUCGGGGUUUUGAGAUGCGCUGAUUUAAAAUUGUGUCCCACGUUUCGUGUUAGCAGGAAGCUAUCUUCAGAGCGUUAAUUCGUAAUAAUUGGAAUUUGAAGGUGGUUCCGGAGGUUUUGAGGUGCGCUGAAGACGAUGCAAUGAUUUAAAAUUGUGUCCGACGUUUCGUUUUAGCAGGGGCCAUCUGCAGAGCAUUAAUUUGUAAUAAUUGGUAUUUGAAGGUGGUUCCGGAGGUUUUGAGGAAGCCAUCUUCAGAGUACUAAUUGGAUUUUGAAGGUGGUUCCGGAGGUUUUGAGGUGCGCUGCAGACGAUGCAACGAUUUAAAAUUGUGUCCGACGUUUCGUUUUAGCAGGAAGCUAUCUUCAGAGCAUUAAUUUGUAAUGAUUGGAUUUUGAAGGUGGUUCCGGAGGUUUUGAGCAGGGGCCAUCUGCAGAGCAUUAAUUUGUAAUAAUUGGUAUUUGAAGGUGGUUCCGGAGGUUUUGAGGAAGCCAUCUUCAGAGUACUAAUUGGAUUUUGAAGGUGGUUCCGGAGGUUUUGAGGUGCGCUGCAGACGAUGCAACGAUUUAAAAUUGUGUCCGACGUUUCGUUUUAGCAGGAAGCUAUCUUCAGAGCAUUAAUUUGUAAUAAUUGGAUUUUGAAGGUGGUUCCGGAGGUUUUGAGCAGGGGCCAUCUGCAGAGCAUUAAUUUGUAAUAAUUGGUAUUUGAAGGUGGUUCCGGAGGUUUUGAGGAAGCCAUAUUCAGAGUACUAAUUGGAUUUUGAAGGUGGUUCCGGAGGUUUUGAGGUGCGCUGCAGACGAUGCAACGAUUUAAAAUUGUGUCCGACGUUUCGUUUUAGCAGGAAGCUAUCUUCAGAGCAUUAAUUUGUAAUAAUUGGAUUUUGAAGGUGGUUCCGGAGGUUUUGAGGUGCGCUGAAGAUGAUGCAAUAAUUUAAAAUUGUGUCCGACGUUUCGUUUUCGCAGGAAGCCAUCUUCAGAGCACUAAUUCGUAAUAAUUAGAAUUUGAAGGUGAUUCCGGGGGUUUUAAGGUGCGCUGCAGACGAUGCAAUUAUUUAAAAUUGUGUCCGACGUUUCGUUUUGGCAGGAAGCCAUCUUCAGAGCAUUAAUUUAUAGUAAUUGGUAUUUGAAGGUGGUUCCGGAGGUUUUAAGAUGCGCUGAAGACGAUGCAAUGAUUUAAAAUUGUGUCCGACGUUUCGUUUUAGCAGGAAGCUAUCUUCAGAGCAUUAAUUCGCAAGAAUUGGAAUUUGAAGGUGGUUCCAGAGGUUUUGAGGAAGCCAUCUUCAGAGCGCUAAUUCGUAAUAAUUAGAAUUUGAAGAUGAUUCCGGUGGUUUUAAGCAAGCUAUCUUCAGAGCAUUAAUUCGUAAUAAUUGGAAUUUGAAGGUGGUUCCCGGAGGUUUUGAGGUGCGCUGAAGAUGAUGCAAUAAUUUCAAAUUGUGUCCGACGUUUCGUGUUAGCAGGAAGCUAUCUUCAGAGCAUUAAUUCGCAAGAAUUGGAAUUUGAAGGUGGUUCCGGGGGUUUUAAGGUGCGCUGAAGACGAUGCAAUGAUUUCAAAUUGUGUCUGACGUUUUGUUCUAGCAGCAAGCUAUCUUCAGAGCAUUAAUUCGUAAUAAUUGGAAUUUGAAGGUGGUUCCAGAGGUUUUGAGGUGCGCUGAAGAUGAUGCAAUAAUUUAAAAUUGUGUUCGACGUUUCGUUUUUGCAGGAAGCCAUCUUCAGAGCGCUAAUUCGUAAUAAUUAGAAUUUGAAGAUGAUUCCGGUGGUUUUAAGGUGCGCUGAAGACGAUGCAAUGAUUUAAAAUUGUGUCCGACGUUUCGUUUUAGCAGGGGCCAUCUGCAGAGCAUUAAUUUGUAAUAAUUGGUAUUUGAAGGUGGUUCCUGAGGUUUUGAGAUGCGCUGAAGACGAUGCAAUGAUUUAAAAUUAUGUCCGACGUUUCGUUUUAGCAGGAAGCUAUCUUCAGAGCAUUAAUUCGUAAUAAUUGGAAUUUGAAGGUGGUUCCGGAGGUUUUGAGGUGCGCUGAAGAUGAUGCAAUAAUUUAAAAUUGUGUCCGACGUUUCGUUUUCGCAGGGAUCCAUCUUAAGGGCACUAAUUCGUAAUAGUUAGAAUUUGAAGGUGAUUCCUGGGGUUUUAAGUUGCGCUGAAGACGAUGCAGUGAUUUAAAAUUGUGUCCGACGUUUCGUUUUACCAGGGGCCAUCUGCAGAGCAUUAAUUUGUAAUAAUUGGUAUUUGAAGGUGGUUCCGGAGGUUUUGAGAUGCGCUGAAGACGAUGCAAUGAUUUAAAAUUAUGUCCGACAUUUCGUUUUAGUAGGAAGCUAUCUUCAGAGCAUUAAUUCGUAAUAAUUGGAAUUUGAAGGUGGUUCCGGAGGUUUUGAGGUGCGCUGAAGAUGAUGCAAUAAUUUAAAAUUGUGUCCGACGUUUCGUUUUCGCAGGAAGCCAUCUUCAGAGCACUAAUUCGUAAUAGUUAGAAUUUGAAGGUGAUUCCUGGGGUUUUAAGGUGCGCUGAAGACGAUGAAGUGAUUUAAAAUUGUGUCCGACGUUUCGUUUUAGCAGGGGCCAUCUGCAGAGCAUUAAUUUGUAAUAAUUGGUAUUUGAAGGUGGUUCCGGAGGUUUUGAGAUGCGCUGAAGACGAUGCAAUGAUUUAAAAUUAUGUCCGACGUUUCGUUUUCGCAGGAAGCCCUCUUCAGAGCACUAAUUCGUAAUAAUUAGAAUUUGAAGGUGGUUCCGGGGGUUUUAAGGUGCGCUGAAGACGAUGCAAUGAUUUAAAAUUGUGUCCGAUGUUUUGUUCUAGCAGGAAGCUAUCUUCAGAGCAUUAAUUCGUAAGAAUUGGAAUUUGAAGGUGGUUCCGGGGGUUUUAAGGUGCGCUGAAGACGAUGCAAUGAUUUAAAAUUGUGUCCGAUGUUUUGUUCUAGCAGGAAGCUAUCUUCAGAGCAUUAAUUCGUAAUAAUUGGAAUUUGAAGGUGGUUCCGGAGG